rnacentral:rRNA from 1 species
UACGUAGGGCGCAAGCGUUGUCCGGAAUUAUUGGGCGUAAAGAGCGUGUAGGCGGCCAGAUAGGUCCGUUGUGAAAACUGGAGGCUUAACCUCCAGCUGUCGAUGGAAACCAUCUGGCUAGAGUCCGGAAGAGGAGAGUGGAAUUCCUGGUGUAGCGGUGAAAUGCGCAGAUAUCAGGAAGAACACCCGUGGCGAAGGCGGCUCUCUGGGACGGUACUGACGCUGAGACGCGAAAGCGUGGGGAGCGAACAGG